GUCUUUUCUGCUGAACGAUCUAGAACGCGGAUCGAUAUAAUUGUGAAUAACUCUACUUGUGGACGACGUAGCGACUUGAAACCAACGCCAUUGCACGGGAAAAAUUACCGCGCUUCCGGUGAACGUGAAGUCGUCCUUCUGUGCCAUGAGGAUCGAACAGCGUGAUUAUAGAUCCAAUAGAGCAGAUGCAGUCACACGGCUUUAGGGGAUGCGAUGCUUGCGGAUGCCGCGCCAGAGGAUUCAGCUCGGGCCUUUCUGAGUCGGCUCGAAGAGACGAACACUCGACUCUAAGGGGAUGCUGCGUCGGAG